rnacentral:rRNA from 1 species
AGGACGAACGCUGGCGGCGUGCUUAACACAUGCAAGUCGAACGGGAGUAUUGAAGAAGCUUGCUUUAGAGAUACUUUAGUGGCGGACGGGUGAGUAACGCGUGAGGAGCUGUCCUAUGCAGGGGGACAACAGCUGGAAACGGCUGCUAAUACCCCAUAAGCCGAGAGGUAAAAGGAUCAAUCCGGCAGAGGAGGUACUCGCGUCCUAUCGGCUAGUAGGUGAGGUAACGGCUCACCUAGGCGAAGACGGGUAGCCGGCCUGAGAGGGCGAACGGCCACACUGGAACUGAGAUACGGUCCAGACUCCUACGGGAGGCAGCAGUGGGGAAUAUUGGGCAAUGGGGGAAACCCUGACCCAGCGACGCCGCGUGGGUGAAGAAAUCCUUCGGGAUGUAAAGCCCUGUUGUAUGGGAAGAGCGGAAGACGGUACCAUACGAGGAAGCCCCGGCAAACUACGUGCCAGCAGCGGC